UACGAAGGGGGGCUAGCGUUGCUCGGAAUGACUGGGCGUAAAGGGCGCGUAGGCGGAUGGCACAGUCAGAUGUGAAAUUCCCGGGCUUAACCUGGGGGGCUGCAUUUGAUACGUGUUGUCUAGAGUGAGGAAGAGGGUUGUGGAAUUCCCAGUGUAGAGGUGAAUUCGUAGAUAUUGGGAAGAACACCGGUGGCGAAGGCGGCAACCUGGUCCUUGACUGACGCUGAGGCGCGA
rnacentral:rRNA from 1 species